GGGCGUAAGCGCGCGUAGGUGGCUUGAUAAGCCGGUUGUGAAAGCCCCGGGCUCAACCUGGGAACGGCAUCCGGAACUGUCAAGCUAGAGUGCAGGAGAGGAAGGUAGAAUUCCCGGUGUAGCGGUGAAAUGCGUAGAGAUCGGGAGGAAUACCAGUGGCGAAGGCGGCCUUCUGGACUGACACUGACACUGAGGUGCGAAAGCGUGGGUAGCAAACAGGAUUAGAUACCCUGGUAGUCCACGCCGUAAACGAUGUCGACCAGCCGUUGGGUGCCUAGCGCACUUUGUGGCGAAGUUAACGCGAUAAGUCGACCGCCUGGGGAGUACGGCCGCAAGGUUAAAACUCAAAUGAAUUGACGGGGGCCCGCACAAGCGGUGGAGCAUGUGGUUUAAUUCGAUGCAACGCGAAGAACCUUACCUACUCUUGACAUCCUGCGAAUUUGGUAGAGAUACCUUAGUGCCUUCGGGAACGCAGAGACAGGUGCUGCAUGGCUGUCGUCAGCUCGUGUUGUGAAAUGUUGGGUUAAGUCCCGUAACGAGCGCAACCCUUGUCCUUAUUUGCCAGCGCGUAAUGGCGGGAACUCUAAGGAGACUGCCGGUGACAAACCGGAGGAAGGUGGGGACGACGUCAAGUCAUCAUGGCCCUUACGAGUAGGGCUACACACGUGCUACAAUGGUCGGUACAAAGGGUUGCCAACUCGCGAGAGUGAGCCAAUCCCGAAAAGCCGAUCUCAGUCCGGAUCGGAGUCUGCAACUCGACUCCGUGAAGUCGGAAUCGCUAGUAAUCGUGGAUCAGAAUGCCACGGUGAAUACGUUCCCGGGCCUUGUACACACCGCCCGUCACACCAUGGGAGUGGACUGCACCAGAAGUGGUUAGCCUAACGCAAGAAGGCGAUCACCACGGUGUGGUUCAUGACUGGG
rnacentral:rRNA from 1 species